AUUGAACGCUGGCCGCAGGCCUAACACAUGCAAGUCGAACGGUAACAGGAAGCAGCUUGCUGCUUUGCUGACGAGUGGCGGACGGGUGAGUAAUGUCUGGGAAACUGCCUGAUGGAGGGGGAUAACUACUGGAAACGGUAGCUAAUACCGCAUAACGUCGCAAGACCAAAGAGGGGGACCUUAGGGCCUCUUGCCAUCGGAUGUGCCCAGAUGGGAUUAGCUAGUAGGUGGGGUAACGGCUCACCUAGGCGACGAUCCCUAGCUGGUCUGAGAGGAUGACCAGCCACACUGGAACUGAGACACGGUCCAGACUCCUACGGGAGGCAGCAGUGGGGAAUAUUGCACAAUGGGCGCAAGCCUGAUGCAGCCAUGCCGCGUGUAUGAAGAAGGCCUUCGGGUUGUAAAGUACUUUCAGCGGGGAGGAAGGGAGUAAAGUUAAUACCUUUGCUCAUUGACGUUACCCGCAGAAGAAGCACCGGCUAACUCCGUG
rnacentral:rRNA from 1 species